rnacentral:tRNA from 1 species
GGCAGGUUGCCCGAGUGGCCAAAGGGAUCUGACUGUAAAUCAGACGGCAACGCCUUCAGAGGUUCGAAUCCUCUACCUGCCACCG